GAUCAUUACAGAAAUAGGAGAAGGUUGCUUAACUGCAAUCCUUUUCUUUCUACACAUGUGUUUUUCUUUUUUUUGAAAACUUUGCUUUGGUGGGCCCACGGCCUGCCAGAGAUUAAACUCAACCAAAUUUUUAUUUAAUUGUCAACUUGAUUAACUAAUAGUCAAAACUUUCAACAACGGAUCUCUUGGUUCUCGCAUCGAUGAAGAACGCAGCGAAAUGCGAUAAGUAAUAUGAAUUGCAGAUAUUCGUGAAUCAUCGAAUCUUUGAACGCACAUUGCGCCCUUUGGUAUUCCAAAGGGCAUGCCUGUUUGAGCGUCAUUUCUCCCUCAAACCUUCGGGUUUGGUGUUGAGCGAUACGCUGGGUUUGCUUGAAAGAAAGGCGGAGUAUAAACUAAUGGAUAGGUUUUUUUUUUCCACUCAUUGGUACAAACUCCAAACAUUCUUCCAAAUUCGACCUCAAAUCAGG
rnacentral:misc_RNA from 1 species